rnacentral:rRNA from 1 species
AUUGAACGCUGGCGGCAUGCCUUACACAUGCAAGUCGAACGGUAACAGGUCUUCGGAUGCUGACGAGUGGCGAGCGGGUGAGUAAUACAUCGGAACGUGCCUAGUAGUGGGGGAUAACUACUCGAAAGAGUGGCUAAUACCGCAUGAGAUCUACGGAUGAAAGCAGGGGAUCGCAAGACCUUGUGCUACUAGAGCGGCCGAUGGCAGAUUAGGUAGUUGGUGGGAUAAAAGCUUACCAAGCCGACGAUCUGUAGCUGGUCUGAGAGGACGAUCAGCCACACUGGGACUGAGACACGGCCCAGACUCCUACGGGAGGCAGCAGUGGGGAAUUUUGGACAACGGGCGCAAGCCUGAUCCAGCAAUGCCGCGUGCAGGAUGAAGGCCUUCGGGUUGUAAACUGCUUUUGUACGGAACGAAAAGCCCUGGGUUAAUACCCUGGGGUCAUGACGGUACCGUAAGAAUAAGCACCGGCUAACUACGUGCCAGCCGCCGCCGUAAUAC